rnacentral:rRNA from 1 species
UUGAAUUGAAGAGUUUGAUCAUGGCUCAGAUUGAACGCUGGCGGCAGGCUUAACACAUGCAAGUC